rnacentral:lncRNA from 1 species
CGAGCAAACGAGUAGAAAUACGGCGUAUGGGGUAAUAUACGGUUGGUCGUAGAAUACUAGUAACCAUAAGGUUCCAUCUACGACCCCAAAAAUCUUGUAAAGAGGUAGCCAAGUAGGGUUCAUUGAACUGUGGCUCGAUCUCGAACCCAAACAUGGCUCGAGCAAGGGUUGCGGCCAAGGCUAGGGCGAGCUCAAGCUCAAUGUAGAUGCGGACACAGAACAUUACUAGAACUACAUUUUUAUGGAGAUUUUGUUUGUGGCCAUAACAAUGAUAAAGCAAAGCUAAUAUUAAAACUUUUAUAGCAAACAAGAUUGAUCUUUGGGGUUGUUGAGAUUUGUUUUGAGAUGGGGUUUUUUGUUUAGAUUUAAUGGGAAGAGAAGCUAAGGAAAUGAAAUGAAGAAGGUUGGACGGCGGUGGUGAGAGAGGUGGUUGGUCGAAACAAAGGAGGAGGAGCUUGAAAUUAGCUAACCAAGAGAGGAAGAAGGGGGUGAUGCCGGCGAGAUAGGCGGUGGAGAUGGUGAGAGGGAGGUAAAGGAAGAAGAUGAAGAUUGGGGUUAAAGAAAUAAGCUUGAAAAUGCCUUUGGGGAGCUUUGAUGAUAUGUAGUAACAAUAACAAAGGGAAAUUAUAGCUAAAAUCCAUACCUUGAUGAAGUUGUAAUGUUCAAUCUCCAUAGGUUGAUCUUUGGAUCUUUGAUGAAAAUGAAGUUUAAUGUUUAAUAUUGAUAAGGAAUGUGAUUGCGUUUUCUUAGAUAAGUGCAUAGACACGUUCAAAAUUUAAUGUGUAUUUAAUUGAAGGUUGUAGAUAGGUGUAUUGCCCCCAAUCAUAUCAUAAUGAAUUUAAGAUAUUAAGUGGGUAUUUUUUUAUUUUAAAAUAUCAAAUCAAUGAAUUUAAUCGUGUUAACAACUAGGUUUGAAUUUUUAAAUUUGAAAAUUAAGGGAUUAAAUUUCUAAAAAUAAAAAUAUAAAGACUAAAUUUCAAAUGUACGAAAACUACAAAGACAGAGUAUAUUCUAAUAUUCAAAUAUUUACUCUAUAAUUUAGCUUAAAAAAUAAUUAACCUAAUGCGAAGUGUGGCAACAACUAGACUUGUUAUAUUUUAAAGGAAACAAAUAAGAGAAAGCCAGUUUGACCUUUUCAUAAUAGUUACCUUGCUGUUGGUUACUUUGAACAACUGAACUAGCUUGGUACUAAAACUCUUAGUAGUUGUAAUUUUCAGGUUGAUUACAUGCAUAUCGCACCAAUUGUUGGUACAAAAUGUUGGCUUAGUGGUAGAUGAUGAUUCAUAUACAUCACUGUGGAGAGCCGUUGGUGGUGGGUCUGAGAAUUUCAGAGAUUGAUAAAAAGGCUUCUUGAAGGGUUUUAACAAAGUUUAUAGGUAAAAAGGGAUAUUCUAAUUGUAUUUGGGUAAGGGAAACGAUUAUAAAAUUCAUAACCUUUGAAAUAGGCUCCUUGGAGGGAAUUUGGAAGCUUGGUCAUGAUGCAUCUUUUUGCACGUUGAUAAUGUGAUUAAUCAACAUGUUUUUAGUGAUUUAUUGUAAUUAAUUUUGGACAUGGAUGCUACUAAUUCGGUACUUUUUUUUUACUAUUUUCUAUAUUAGUACAAUGCAAGUUUGAAAUGUUAGAGUAUAAGUUGCUUUCAAGGUUAUGCACUUGGUAAUCGUUAGUUGUCAUGCUGGUCUCGUAAUUAAUUUAUCACUAAGGAAGAAUUUGGAGAUUUGAGAUUGUUCCUCGAUCUCUAUAACUAAUUUAUCAUUUGGAGAGAAUCCAUUAUCCGGGAUCAGUUCAAAGUUGAAGUCAAAAUUGUGCCUAAGGCUAGAUUUUGCAUUUUAUCGGUUUAUUCAUUUUUUAUUUAAUUUUUUGUGAUUUAUUUUAUAUUCUGAUUUAAUCCCCCAUCUAUUUUGUAUAGAUUGGCAUGAGUCAUGGGCACGAAAACUAUCUGCGAAGCAUUUUGGUUAUAAAGAGAUACAGAUUCAAACAGAUUAGUCCUUGUGGGAUCGACUCUACUCUUUAUACUAUAAAUUUAAUUUUGGUUUUAGGUGUAAGAAUUUAUUUUUGGUGAAUUUGGCACCUAUCAUAGGUGUGUUUGGAUGUAAUGAAACAAGUUGGUAGUGUGGCUUGCCUCUUUUACACUUUUCAAACAUGCAUGAGACAGAUAUUUAGCAAAGGAUUAAUGUUUUACUAUGUUGGUGAGCUUCCACAUAUAGAUGUUGGUGAAAUGUUAAAGAUGAAAUUCUCCUAUUUUCCAUUGGUCAAAGAGGUUGACUUGACAAGAUCCAUUAGGCAAGAUGACACAUAUAACAAUUACGAAUAUAUGAAAACAAAAAAAUGAAAAGACGAAGAACAAAAAUUCAUCGAGACAUAUCUUAUUUACACUUCGCAACUUUACAAUUUUUCAUAUGAUGUUUUAACUCAAAAGUAUCAUUAUUUUUGAGGAGGGGCCGACUCUUUCGGGAGAAGUCUUCAAAGUGUCGUAUGUUGAACAGCCGACCUGAUCCCCCCAACAACAGAAGCUAUUGUCCCCUUGUCGAGGUUUUGUCCUUAGCCUUCAUGAAGAGCCAUGUACGGUUCAUGGAGGGGGCACCUCGAGAGAUAGGUACUUGCAAGACUUGGGAAAAAUGUCAGUAUGGGGCGUGUGAAUAAUAGUGGAGGUACUUGGGUGCGUCGCGAUUCAAACCACCAACCAAGGCUUAAAGACAACAUGUUUGCAAACAUGGUACUCUUCAUUUUUUUUUAAAACCUCGACACAGGGACUAUAUUGAUUUUUGGGGGUUUGGGUUGACUGUCAGAGGACGACACUUUAAAAACUUCUUACAAAGGAACCGAUUCUCCCCUUAACAAUUAUGAUGACUAUAACAGCCCGAUUUUCAAUGGUAUUGGAAAAGCGAUUUGAAACCUCAUUUUCGUAAAACAGUGUUUGUAAAUAUUAAUAUUUAAUAUUUAUGAAGCUAUUAUAGUAAUAUAUUAAAGUUUGGUUUAGUAAUUUUGUUGAAUUGAUAGCUAAUUAAGGUUCAAUGACUAAAUUGUAAGAGUUUAUCGCUAAAGGUUUUUAAUUGGUCAAAAAUUUAGGGACGUAAAUUGCAUUUACUAAAAGGUCUAAAGAGGUAAUUUAACCAAUUUAAAAUAAGAAAUAGUGGCAUAUGAUGACAUUCCCACUAUCUUUGAUUAAUAGUUAAUUAAUUAAACUUAAAUUAAUUAAACUUAAUUAACUCAUCUUUAAUUUAAACAAAUUAAAAGGGAAAGUCAUCAUCUUUUAUUCAUCUUUCUCUCUUGGUCGAAUCUUGGAGGAGAGAAAACCUAAGGAAACAUUUCACAUUUGACUUCAAAAUUGGUAUGUGUAAUUAAAUCAUUUUCUUGUAAUUUUUAUGUUUUUGAGGCCAUGAAAGAUUGAUUUAGCUAGCUCAUGUAUCAAUUUGUAAAACUGUUAAAAUUUUUAAAAGUUUUCAUUGAUAAUUUCUUAAAUAAAUUAGUGUUAAAUUGAUAGGCUUCAAGCUUAGAUGUGAAAAAGGAUAAGAUUGUAAAGUUUAAAUUGUUAGUUUUGUCAAAAAGGAUUAAAGUGUAAAAAUUGAAUAUUUGAUGUGAAGUUUUUUUAACAAUAGAUAGUAGAGGGUCCUAAAAGGAUAUGAGUGAGAUCGAUUUUGAAAUCUAAGCUCAAAAUUGAAAGUUAUGGCAAUUUCGAUUUUAGGGUCUAAAUUGAAUAAAAUGUAAAACUUUAGGGGCAUUUAGAAAAUGAAAUUGAACUGGUACAUGCAUAUAAUAGAAUGUUAUAACAUUUUUAGUAUUGAUAAAUUGAAUUGAAUAAUUGUAUAGAUCGAGAAUUGAACCAAACUGAAGAUAAUUGGGGAAAAGAAAAAAUUAUCGAUUAGUCCUUAUGAAACUUACUAGGUAAGUUCAUAUGAAACUUACUAAAUUAUCUUUUGAAUUGUAUUUUUUUUCUAUUGUAUGUUUAUAUUUAAGUGAAAUUGUGGAAAUUGGCUUAUUUGGCUAUUUAUGGACUAAAUUGUAAAACAUGAAAAUGUUGGCUAUACGAAAGGGUACAAAGUACCGAUAUGAAUGUUACAUGUUUAUAGGAUUUGUAUGAAAUAUGCAUUUUGAUAUAAGACUUGAAAUGAUACGAUUAAGAUAAUGAUGCUAGUGUGAACUUAGUAAAAGCUUAGAAUACGUAUGACAUGUCAUUAGGGUCAAAUAUGGAAUCGGUCAGGGAUUUACAUGGUUAUAUGAGAUCCAACAUUUUUUUCUCGAUUUAUAUGUAUCGUUGGUUUAGCCUGGACUAGUAACCACAAUACGAUGUCAGCUUGUCUGAGCAAUUUCAUAAAUAUCAGCUUUUUUUCAGAAACCCUGAUCAAUGUCAACUUGUGUGAGCAAUAUAGUCACGUUUAUCCGAAAUGGUAACCUAACGGAAAUGAAAUCAUUGUAAUGAUACAAAUGUGGAUUGAAUUUUACAUGUUUUCAAAUUGAAUAUGAAUUCUUUUGUACAUGUUUCAAAUUGAGUUGUGGUAAAUUAAUUUUGUGUAAAGUUCUUGAUAUGAAAAUGGACUAAUCUAUUCAUUGUAUAUGAUAUUAUGUGUUAGCUAUUUCAAGAUAUGUCAAAUGAUGCCAUAUUGAAUGACAAUGUAUUUAAAUUUUUAGUUUGUUGUAAUAUCAAGGUAAGUUAAAUUUCAUAUGAACUUACUAAGCAUUAUGUUACUUUUUGUUUUCCUUGUAGAUCAUUACCUUGCAGAACAUAUCAAGUAGAUCGCUUUGGAUCUCACAUUAUCCUGUUUUUGAAUCAGUAGCUUUUCGAUCAUUUUAAGUUCGGAAUUGUGGAUGUAUAUAGGCGUUUUGUAUAUGUUAACUUUCAAUGUUGGACAUAGCUUAAAACCUUCCUAAUGCAUGAUUUUGACAAUGUUAAUGUCUAGUUGAAAUGGCAUGUUUUGGUAAAUGUGUUUGAAUUAGGUUUGGAAAUUAAAAUCGCAUGUUUGAACAUGGAUUAGCAUAGAUACUAAAUUGGUAUUUGAAUGGCUAGUUGGUUGGAUGGAUGAUUUAUAAUUGAAUGAGUUGAAUUGGUAUGUUUUGUGUUAAUUUGAACUUAUAUUGAAUUGAUUGAUUGGAAAUGGUUAAAUGACUUGUUUUGGUAUGUUUUUGGUAUGGUUUGAUUCAAGUAAAGAUGGGCGAUUUGUUCAGUAAAUUGAAUAGGUUGUUUGGAAGCAUUAAAUAGGUACCGAAUGGUUCAUUUUUCUUAAAAACAGGUUCCACAUCACGAUUAUGGUUCUCGACAUCGCAACAUUGGAAAUUCAGAGAGUCUCGUUGCAACAUAUUGAGGUGCCCAUGUCGCGAUGAGGAAACACUGAAGUCACGACGACGGUUAAUUUUUAAAACUUUACAAUUUGGUCCUAUUUCGUGCUCGGGUCAGUAAAAGAGCUUUAGUAAGCUCGAUUAAGGCUCGAGUUUAAUUGAUUAACAUAAUGUAAAUGUGUUUAGCACUUAAUUACAUGUUUGAUUGAUGUUUACUGUAUAAUUUACUAUAGUUACUUCGACAACGAAUGUGACAUACUAUAACUCGAACCCGACAAUCAAAUCGGGCUAAAAGUGUUACAAUAACUAUUGAAUGCCAUUGGUAGUCUCAUUUUUUUAAAAAAAGACAUCUAUAAUUAAUAUUCAUGUUCCACGUAUAUUUAAACAUAGAUAUAAGAUUUGCUUUCUCAAAAAUUUGUUUUAUUCCAAUCUGGUCAAAGCCAACAAAAGUGUUUGAUAGAAACGAGAAGGACAAACAGACAAACUUUGUGUUGUGUUUUAAUGAUAGUCACUAAAUAUGGCGUGGCCCGUUUUCUUAUACGGAACCAUAGUUUCUACAUCCUGGAAAUGGAACAUCAAGCCGACAUUUUUAAGGUUAAUUUCUGCUAUUUAUCCUUAAUUUUUGCGAAAUUUAUAUAUUUAAUCUCUAUAUUUUAAUUUAAUCAUUUUUAGUCAUUAAACUUUUCAAAUUUUAAAGUUUCAAUACUAACCGAACGGUAACUAUUAAAUUCAGUAAGUUUUGCUAUUUUAAAAAUCUGAGGUGGUAAACAUAUUAUCAUAUGUGUAAUAACAUGUCAGUUGAUUAUUUCUGCAUAUUACUAACUAAAAAUCCAUGCAAUGAAUUAACGAUUGUCAUUUGCUUCAAGAUUGAAAUUUUAAAACUCGAAAAAUACAGGGACUUAAAAUGAUCCACUUGAAGAAUAUGGAUUAAAUCUGUAACUUUAAGUAUAGUACAGGACUAUUAAUUGAAUUUAACUGCUAUUAUUUGGGUUAUGACUAAAUUUUAAAAUUCGAAAAAUAUAGGACAAAAAUUGAUCAAAUUAAAGUAUAAAAAUUAAAUCCAUAAUUUUGACAAAACAUUGAGAUUAAUAGCAGAAUUUGCCUUUUUUAAUGAAAUAAAAAUAUAACCAUGGAAAUAUUCUUCAUAGAACUUUGUUGUUCAAUUCAGACUCAGAGAGUUUUGUACUUUCUACUCAAGUUCUCUCAUGAUUAUCCUACAAGCUGUAUUCACAUGUCUUGUUUUAUAUAUAUAUAUAUAUAUGGGUAAACUAUACUAGUAGUCACCCAAUUAUUAAUAAAUUUUUUUUAAUCACACAAUUAUGAAAAGUUAUAAAUUAAAUGAUCAUCUAGCUAUUAGUAAAUUUCUUUUUUAGUCACACAACUAUGAAAAAUUACAAAAUAAUUAUUAAACUAUUCAAUUUUGUCAUUUUUGGUCCCCAGCUGGCUACCAUAAAAAUAGAAAUACCCAAAACUCCAAGAUAGUUAGGUGACCAAAAAAGAAAUUUACUAAUAGUUGGAAGACCAUUUUAUAAUUUUUCAUUGUUGAGUGACAAAAGAAAAUUAACUAAUAAUUGGGUGAAUAUUAAAUAGUUUACCUCAAAACCCUUGCUAUAAUUUAAGUGCAGGUGUGUUACUUAGCAUUGUGUUUGAUAUAGUUUUUUUGAGGCAAGAAAAAUGGCUAAGGUUAGUGAGAAACUGAUGGUGUAUUGCUUGGUAGCAAUUUUUGUGGUCAUUGCAAUGGUGGAAGGAAUUUAAAUGGGUGGAUUUUUAUUUAUGAUUUUUUUCUAAAAUUACAAUGAUAAUCAAAAUGGAAGCAAACCCUUUAUAAGAUCCAUCACCUUGGAGUACUCUCCAAUGUUCUUCUCAUCUACACCAUUCCUCACUAACUGCGGGAGAAACAACCAAACGGCAGUCACCGCCACAAAUCCCAAAGCUGACGCCCCGGAAACCACCGGGUGCAACCUCAUUUUCUCAGGCACCACCUUCUUCACCACCACUUCCGCCGCCACCGCAACCCCAUGUAAGAUGAAAAACCAUGUCACCUCCCAACUAGGAGCCACACGAGUCAUGUAAUAAAAAAUCAAUUCAUGCAUCAAGCCGGAGACGACGAACACAACGACGAUCGCCGGCAACGAAGCCCACCUUGAUCCGAGCAAACGAGUAGAAAUACGGCGUAUGGGGUAAUAUACGGUUGGUCGUAGAAUACUAGUAACCAUAAGGUUCCAUCUACGACCCCAAAAAUCUUGUAAAGAGGUAGCCAAGUAGAGUUCAUUGAACUGUGGCUGGAUCUCGAACCCAAACAUGGCUCGAGCAAGGGUUGCGGCCAAGGCUAGGAUGAGCUCAAGCUCAAUGUAGAUGUGGACACA